rnacentral:lncRNA from 1 species
GCGCCGCCGGAGAAACCUGGGCUGAUAUCAGGAAAUACCCGAAAGUGAUAAACGAACUCCUCCGAUUGUUCUUUCUCCAGGCAGUACCCCGGCCGAGCCGCCAGAUGUCAGCACGAGGCUUUGUGCCUCGCUCCGCUCUCAGUGACUGCUCCAGUCGCCAAAUAGCACGAAGCUUUCCCGUACAAUCCCAGGCCCUGCUUCAGCCCAUCCGCCUCUCCCGCUCAGAAGACUUUUUUGGAAGUAUAUGAUGAGCAACCAUUGAGAUUGGAUGGAAAGCAUCAGCAGCACCAGGAAACUCUUGGCAUAUGGAUAGUCUGUUGAUAUCCAGAUGCCAUCCAGUGAAAGGGGAAGUGCAUGAAUCCAGGGGAGGCAAUGCAUGCAGCAGCUGCGCAGCUAUCAGAUCCCAGCCCUCUGCGAGCAGAAUCUGUCCUCCUCAGGGGAGUAAAUUUGCUCCCCCCACGUAAGUCUUUC